GACGAACGCUGGCGGUGUGCUUCACACAUGCAAGUCGAACGAGGUAGCAAUACCUAGUGGCGGACGGGUGAGUAACGCGUGGGAAUCUGCCUUUGGGAUGGGGGAUAACGGGUCGAAAGACUCGCUAAUACCGCAUAUGACGAAAGUUGAAAGGAGUAAUCCGUCUAAAGAUGAGCCCGCGUCCGAUUAGCUAGUUGGGUAGAGUAAAAGCCUACCAAGGCGACGAUCGGUAGCUGGUCUGAGAGGAUGAUCAGCCACAAUGGGACUGAGACACGGCCCAUACUCCUACGGGAGGCAGCAGUGGGGAAUUUUACGCAAUGGGCGAAAGCCUGACGUAGCGACACCGCGUGAGCGAAGAAGCCCCUUGGGGUAGUAGAGGCUCUGUCAGCUGGAACGAAAAAAAU
rnacentral:rRNA from 1 species